GAUGAAGAACGUAGCGAAAUGCGAUACGUAAUGUGAAUUGCAGAAUUCAGUGAAUCAUCGAAUCUUUGAACGCAUAUUGCGCUCUCUGGUAUUCCGGAGAGCAUGCUUGUUUGAGUAUCAGUAAACACCUCAACUUCCAUAUCUUUUUUGAAAUGGGAGUUGGACUUGAGUGAUCCCAACGCUUUUCCUCACCGAAAAGUGGCGGGUUACUUGAAAUGCAGGUGCAGCUGGACUUUUCUCUGAGCUAUAAGCAUAUCUAUUUAGUCUGCCUAAAAACAGAUUAUUACCUUUGCUGCAGCUAACAUAAAGGAGAUUAGUUCUUGUGCUGACUGAUGCAGGAUUCACAAAGACAGGCUUCGGCCGACUUUGUAAACUCGAUCUCAAAUCAAGUAAGACUACCCGCUGAACUUAAGCAUAUCAAUAGGCGGAGGA
rnacentral:misc_RNA from 1 species